AGCAAGCACCGGCUAACUCCGUGCCAGCAGCCGCGGUAAUACGGAGGGUGCAAGCGUUACUCGGAAUCACUGGGCGUAAAGCGCGCGCAGGCGGCUAUUUAAGUUGGAUGUGAAAGCCUACGGCUCAACCGUAGAACUGCAUCCAAAACUAUUUAGCUAGAGUGUGGGAGAGGAAGAUGGAAUUAGUUGUGUAGGGGUAAAAUCCGUAGAGAUAACUAGGAAUACCAAAAGCGAAGGCAAUCUUCUGGAACACUACUGACGCUGAGGCGCGAAAGCGUGGGGAGCAAACGGGAUUAGAUACCCCGGUAGUCCACGCAGUAAACGAUGAAUGUUAGUCGUCGGGGGCCUAGUGUCUUCGGUGAUGCAGCUAACGCAUUAAACAUUCCGCCUGGGGAGUACGGUCGCAAGAUUAAAACUCAAAGGAAUAGACGGGGACCCGCACAAGUGGUGGAGCAUGUGGUUUAAUUCGAAGAUACGCGAAGAACCUUACCUAGCCUUGACAUAUUUAAGAAUCCGGUAGAGAUACUGGAGUGCCUUCGGGAGCUUUCUUACAGGUGCUGCACGGCUGUCGUCAGCUCGUGUCGUGAGAUGUUGGGUUAAGUCCCGCAACGAGCGCAACCCUCGUCACUAGUUACUAACGGUUCGGCCGAGGACUCUAGUGAGACUGCCUUCGUAAGGAGGAGGAAGGUGAGGACGACGUCAGUCAUCAUGGCCUUACGGCUAGGGCACACACGUGCUACAUGGCCAGGACAGUGAGACGCGAUACCGUGAGGUGGAGCAAUCUAUAACCUGUCUCAGUUCGGAUUGAGC
rnacentral:rRNA from 1 species